ACCGCUGAUCAAUCGCCUCAUCAACCGACAUCGAGAAAAUCCGUCCACUACAGCGCCGCCCACGGAUGCUGAAAACUCGAAGCAAUUCCGGUCGAUCGUCAACAUUGGCACUCUCACCCGCAAGAUUCAACGGACCCUCCGUGUGGAUUAUCCGGAAGUGGUUAUUUGUCCACAACAACGCAAGACUGUAAAAUCCAUAAUACCAGGAGUGAAGGACAAGUUAGAGGCAAACCAACGAUCCAACGUGAUAUACAAAAUCCCGUGUGCAGACUGUAGGGCAAGCUAUGUAGGUAUGACAUCGUGCCGACUGAAAGAUCGUGUGUCUGGUCACCGAUCGACGAUCAACAAACUGGAGGAACUACGAGCAGCGGGGAAAGACGAGAUGGAUCAUGAGAUGGCAAGACUGAGAGAGAAAACUAUGCUACUAGAUCACUGUAUCACCAACAUCCACAAUUUUCUAUUAGAUAAUGUAGAAGUAUUAGACUCAAGCAACAAAAAACAGAAUUUAGCCAUAUUAGAGUCAUGCCACAUCUUGAACACACCAAACACUGUCAACAAACGAACUGACACCGAAAACCUGAGCGGCACGUACGCAGGGGUAUUACACACAGUCAAAACGACACAGCACACAACACAUAGAAGAACAGAGGAAUAGGCGCACAAUAGCGAUCAUCACUAUAACGAGAAACAGACAGAAUCGAAAUCUGGCGCGAAAGUGACGCCGCCGGUAAGUGGUAGAUCGUAGGAGGUAAAACAGAUACUGAUAGAUUUGAAAAAGUGCGCCAACCAACGAACUCAACCACUGAAGUGAAGACGUGCGACUAUGUUUAAAACAUACAUAACCUCACGAGUAAACGGAGGGAUUGUAUCUAUCCUUUGAAAAAGGCACAAUAUAUGUGACCGAAACGUCAGGUGUUGAACCAAUAUCCGUUUAUGAUUACAUAGAGACUGGAAGCCGAAAACCCCCGCUAGCAUAAUACCAAUCACAGUCGAUCCCC